rnacentral:rRNA from 1 species
ACGGGAUCUUCGGAUCUAGUGGCGGACGGGUUAGUAACGCGUGGGAACGUACCCUUUUCUACGGAAUAGCCUCGGGAAACUGAGAGUAAUACCGUAUACGCCCUUCGGGGGAAAGAUUUAUCGGAGAAGGAUCGGCCCGCGUAAGAUUAGAUAGUUGGUGGGGUAAUGGCCUACCAAGUCUACGAUCUUUAGCUGGUUUGAGAGGAUGAUCAGCAACACUGGGACUGAGACACGGCCCAGACUCCUACGGGAGGCAGCAGUGGGGAAUCUUAGACAAUGGGGGAAACCCUGAUCUAGCCAUGCCGCGUGAGUGACGAAGGCCUUAGGGUCGUAAAGCUCUUUCGCUGGGGAAGAUAAUGACUGUACCCAGUAAAGAAACCCCGGCUAACUCCGUGCCAGCAGCCGCGGUAAU